rnacentral:lncRNA from 1 species
CAUUGUAUAAAACAUAUCUUGGCUCCUCGUACUUUUUCUUAUUGAUUAAUGACAUAAUAACUUCGAUUGUAUAUGAAUUUGGGAAAUAAUCACAUAAUUGAGAAUUCCAUACUCCUUCACACGGAAAUGGAUCCUCUCCAAUUUUUUAACACUUGACAAAAUAAAGUGUGAUUUGAUUCUAUAAGUAUGAUCAGAAAUAAAAGAGAGAGUUAUUUUAAAACAAAAAUAUUAAAUCCCAACCUGUAUUGUGGUAUAGGCCAAUUCUCUACCCAUUUUUAUUAAUGUUCAAGAGGGCCUUAUAUAUAUAUAUAAAGUCAUAAACAAAGGUUAUAUAUCAGGACAUUCAUACAAGCAUUCACAUUGGGAUAAUGGUUUUAUUAUACAACGUGAAGCAUAGGCCAUGGAACCAUAUCUCUCAUUGCAUUCAUUGAAACAACUCUCAGCACUGCCACACAACUGCAAAAUAUUUUAAUAAAACCAACCUAAUU